AUGCAGACUUGUUUAGAAAUAAAUAGUUUUAAGUGUUUAAUAAUCUGUUAAGAAAAAUAUUUUUAAGUAUGUAGAAUUAAUUAGUAUAGUAAAAUUUAAGGCUUGGACUAUAGUUCAAAAGUACCGUGAGGGAAAGUUUAAAUAAGAAUGAAAAUUUAAUUAUGGAAAAGAAAAUAUUAAAACUUGUACCUUUUGUAUCAGGGGGAAUUUAAAUUUUCUGGAUAAGUUGGAUAUCCCGAAAAAAGAAUAGCUAAAAAAUUAAGAUUGUCUUAGUCGUAAAUAAGUUUUUAAUAGUUUUUUAGUGGUGAAAUACUAAUCGAGUCUUUUUAUAUCUGGUUGUUUCAGAAAGAAAUUUAAUUUUGUUCGAAUGUGAUUAAAAUUAAUUCGAGUGAAUAAUUGGAGGGAAAAGCUUCUGGUUAAUAAAUUAAGUAUAGGGUAAUGUGAGUAAAUCUAUUUUAACUAAGCUUAGAAGUAGUUAUGUUAGUAAAGUGUUUUAACUAAAAUUUUUAAAUCGUUGCUAUUUAUGUCACCCUUGCUUUGAUAAGUAUGAAAUUUUAACAGUAAAUGUUUUAUUGUUAGUAAUAAUGAUUUUAUUAGUAGAAAUAUCUUUGUGAAUAAAUUGGUUAAGUAAAAUAAAAAUUAAUUUUUGUAAUUAAGUUAGAGAUGCAUUAAAGGAACUCGGCAAACCGAAUUUCUGCCUGUUUAUCAAAAACAUGUCUUUAUGAAUAAUUUAUAUAAAGUCUAGCCUGCCCAGUGAUGUUUGAGUUUAACGGCCGCGGUAGUAUGACCGUGCUAAGGUAGCAUAAUAAUUUGUCCUUUAAUUGGGGACUGGUAUGAACGGUUGAACAAGAAAUUAACUGUCUCCAUUGCAAACUUUGAACUUUACAUUUAAGUGAAAAGGCUUAAAUAGUACAGGGGGACGAUAAGACCCUAUAAAUCUUUAUGCUUUAAUUAAUAAAUCUUAGAAAUUAGUUACAAAUCUAGUGUCAUUGAGUUAAAGUAUUUUGUUGGGGCGACAGAAGCAUAAUAAGUAACUGCUUUGUUUAAAAAAAUUAAUUAUUUUUAUUGUGAUAGUUAUAUUGAUCCUCUUAUGGAGAAACCAGAUCAAGUUACUUUAGGGAUAACAGCGUAAUCUUUUUUGAGAGUCCAUAUCGAAAAAAUGGUUUGCGACCUCGAUGUUGAAUUAAAGAUCCUUAAUGGCGUAGGGGCUAUUGUGGGAGGUCUGUUCGACCUUUAAACCUUUACAUGAUUUGAGUUCAGACCGGCGUAAGCCAGGUCGGUUUCUAUCUCCUGUAAAUAAUUUAACUCUUUUAGUACGAAAGGAUUUGAGAGUUGAAAUAAUUUUUUUAGUGUAGAGUAUU
rnacentral:rRNA from 1 species